CAUCCGAUUACCGGGACUGUUUGUUAAUUUGAAGAAGAAACCAAAAUAUGCAUCUAAAGUGGCCACUUGUCAUUUGAGAUCUGCGUUGAAAAACUGAUUACCAGUGGAUUGAUUUAGAUGGCCACUGCGUAUGAGUCAACGCCAAACUGAUCCCAGCUCAAAUUCGUGCAUGUACUGUACCUUUGUAUUAUAUAUAUAUCACUGGUCGAGCACGAGUUG
rnacentral:lncRNA from 7 species